UGAGAAGCUGCGAAGAUGGCGGAGUAAGGCGUGCCGCUGCAAACUGGCCUCUGGGCCGGGGGCGAGCAGCCCCCGGGAGGCCGAGUGCAUCUGUUGGACCGUGCGAGGAGAAGAAAAAAAAUAUCGGCCAGAGGAGAGGAACUAACCGAACAUUCUUCCUCCCUACCUUAUAGAGGGGAGUGGUCAUCUACACUAAAGCAAAGUGUUAGGCGCGUCCGUGCGAAGAGACCACCAAACAGGCUUUGUGUG
rnacentral:lncRNA from 10 species